rnacentral:rRNA from 1 species
UUGAACGCGAAGAACCUUACCUGGGUUUGACAUGCACCAGACAUCCCUAGAGAUAGGGUCUUCCCUUGUGGUUGGUGUGCAGGUGGUGCAUGGUUGUCGUCAGCUCGUGUCGUGAGAUGUUGGGUUAAGUCCCGCAACGAGCGCAACCCUUGUUCCAUGUUGCCAGCACGUAAUGGUGGGGACUCAUGGGAGACUGCCGGGGUCAACUCGGAGGAAGGUGGGGAUGACGUCAAAUCAUCAUGCCCCUUAUGUCCAGGGCUUCACACAUGCUACAAUGGCCAGUACAGAGGGUUGCGAGACCGUGAGGUGGAGCGAAUCUCUUAAAGCUGGUCUCAGUUCGGAUUGGGGUCUGCAACUCGACCCCAUGAAGUUGGAGUCGCUAGUAAUCGCAGAUCAGCAACGCUGCGGUGAAUACGUUCCCGGGUCUUGUACACACGCAAA